UGUGAAAGAUUCAAAUCAAGAUCACCAUCUCUAGAUGCCAUCCCUGCAGCUUUAUUUGCUGGCCUGUAAAAUUUCAAUAAAACUAUAUAAAUCCAACUAUUUACAAUUUUUUGGUAACAAACAACCUGUCACAAUGCAAUAAGUAAAUCUAAUAAUGCAUGAACCAGGCAAAAAUCUUUACAAGCUUGUCACCUGAAUCCAUUUCAACAAAAAUGCUCCAUUCUAGCUCCAUUUUUUCAAUACGAAACAGAUUCUCGAAAAUUUAUCUUAUUGCUUCCCUUUCCAUACACAUUGGCUUUGUCUACUACACUAAUUCUGCAUGCACUACACGGCGAGAUAACACAAAUGACAACAUUAGGACCGAAUCGUUGGACCUAUUAAUUUAUACCCUCCGAAUGAAUAUAAUCCAAUUGAAGAAUCAAUCCAUUACGAUUUCACUACACACAAAAACUUCACUCACCCUUUCCUGCUUGGUCUAUGGAAUACCUCGUCCAAAAGUUCCUUUCUCAACUUUAGAGCGGAGCCUUCCAGAUUGACCCUGCGCACAAAAAAACAAAUACAAUAUCCUUUCUUUAAUCUCAAUUUCUUAAACUAUAACAGCAAAGCGUAGGAUGCUCGUGAUUUGAAGGUAACUAACUAUAUACACUAUGCUACACAAUAGGGAUCAUCAACCAUUAAGAUACAUAAAGAGCAAAAAGCUCUCAAAACAUUCAAUUCAAGUAUUCAACAGAAAUAUAAUACAAGAAACNNNNNNNNNNNAUCAAAAGUCAAAAGGAAAACCAUCAAAGGCAAAACAUGAUCAAAAUCAUUUCAAUCCAUCAUUCCAAUUUCCAUGUGCAUAUGCUUAUUAGUUAAAAAGGAAUGAUUGUUAGGAACAAAAAGGACCACAUUUAAGAAUCAAGAACAAAAAUUUCCCAAAAGAACAGAAACAAAAAACUUGAAAAUUUCUAACCCAGAAUCUUCUUCUUGAAAGAUCCAUCAGGUGCCUUUUCCAAACCAACCCAACCAUCAUUCAUCUGCAUCAAAAGAAGUCAUUAAAAAACAAACACAUACUGUAAAAAAAUUAACUCGGAAAAAACCACCAACACACAAAAAUUAGUAGAAUCAUCUUUACCUCUUUCUGAUAUUGUGGUCAUAGUGAUUUUUCUAGUCACCUGAGUUUAUUAACAUCCAAAGAUCAAAUUUCAUGGAGGAGCCUUAUCCUUCCAUGGAGCCUGCAAAAAACAACAUAGAAAACCAAUUAGAGAGAUGAAUAUUGACAAAUUGAGAAAGAUGAAAUCUAGAAGAUGAAUUUAGAGAUACAUCAC
rnacentral:lncRNA from 1 species